rnacentral:lncRNA from 1 species
AUUUUCCACUGCUACAGAAAAAAACUGCAGUGAUCAUCUUGUAUCUGUGUGUAUUUCUCUAGGUGGUGGACCUGCCAGAGCUAAUUACCUAAUCACUCUAUGGGUGAUGCCCCCCAAUCCGAGUCCCUGCCUGCUCCCCUGGCCUUGCAGGUCUCAGCUGCUGAAUCACAGAAUGAAUGAGAUGCCCUGGAAUGGUUUGGUUGGCUUUCCCUUUCCCACCUGGAGAAGAAUCUGGGCUCCUCUGCUCUCUGGCUUCCGCUUGGAAUUGGCCAACUGAAGCAGGAGAUUGCUGUCUAAAGGAAGAGAGGUCAGGUAUUUUUGUCCUGCCUCCCUUUUCCC